rnacentral:rRNA from 1 species
GAUGAACGCUGGCGGCGUGCCUAAUACAUGCAAGUCGAGCGAACAGACGAGGAGCUUGCUCCUCUGACGUUAGCGGCGGACGGGUGAGUAACACGUGGAUAACCUGCCUAUAAGACUGGGAUAACUUCGGGAAACCGGAGCUAAUACCGGAUAAUAUAUUGAACCGCAUGGUUCAAUAGUGAAAGACGGUUUUGCUGUCACUUAUAGAUGGAUCCGCGCCGCAUUAGCUAGUUGGUAAGGUAACGGCUUACCAAGGCAACGAUGCGUAGCCGACCUGAGAGGGUGAUCGGCCACACUGGAACUGAGACACGGUCCAGACUCCUACGGGAGGCAGCAGUAGGGAAUCUUCCGCAAUGGGCGAAAGCCUGACGGAGCAACGCCGCGUGAGUGAUGAAGGUCUUCGGACCGUAAAACUCUGUUAUUAGGGAAGAACAAAUGUGUAAGUAACUAUGCACGUCUUGACGGUACCUAAUCAGAAAGCCACGGCUAACUACGUG